rnacentral:rRNA from 1 species
GGUGAGUAACACGUAUCCAACCUGCCCUUUACUCGGGGAUAGCCUUUCGAAAGAAAGAUUAAUACCCGAUAGUAUAAUGAUUCCGCAUGGUUUGAUUAUUAAAGGAUUCCGGUAAAGGAUGGGGAUGCGUUCCAUUAGGUUGUUGGUGAGGUAACGGCUCACCAAGCCUUCGAUGGAUAGGGGUUCUGAGAGGAAGGUCCCCCACAUUGGAACUGAGACACGGUCCAAACUCCUACGGGAGGCAGCAGUGAGGAAUAUUGGUCAAUGGGCGUUAGCCUGAACCAGCCAAGUAGCGUGAAGGAUGAAGGCUCUAUGGGUCGUAAACUUCUUUUAUAUAAGAAUAAAGUGCAGUAUGUAUACUGUUUUGUAUGUAUUAUAUGAAUAAGGAUCGGCUAACUCCGUGCCAGCAGCCGCGGUAAUACGGAGGAUCCGAGCGUUAUCCGGAUUUAUUGGGUUUAAAGGGAGCGUAGGUGGACUGGUAAGUCAGUUGUGAAAGUUUGCGGCUCAACCGUAAAAUUGCAGUUGAUACUGUCAGUCUUGAGUACAGUAGAGGUGGGCGGAAUUCGUGGUGUAGCGGUGAAAUGCUUAGACUCACGAAGACUCCGAUUGCGAAGGCAGCU